CAUGCAAGUCGAACGGCAGCACGGGGGCAACCCUGGUGGCGAGUGGCGAACGGGUGAGUAACAUAUCGGAACGUGCCCUGGAGUGGGGGAUAACUAGUCGAAAGAUUAGCUAAUACCGCAUACGAUCUACGGAUGAAAGUGGGGGAUCGCAAGACCUCAUGCUCGUGGAGCGGCCGAUAUCUGAUUAGCUAGUUGGUGGGGUAAAGGCCUACCAAGGCAUCGAUCAGUAGCUGGUCUGAGAGGACGACCAGCCACACUGGGACUGAGACACGGCCCAGACUCCUACGGGAGGCAGCAGUGGGGAAUUUUGGACAAUGGGCGCAAGCCUGAUCCAGCAAUGCCGCGUGAGUGAAGAAGGCCUUCGGGUUGUAAAGCUCUUUUGUCAGGGAAGAAACGGUGGAGGUUAAUACCUUCUGCUAAUGACGGUACCUGAAGAAUAAGCACCGGCUAACUACGUGCCAGCAGCCGCGGUAAUACGUAGGGUGCAAGCGUUAAUCGGAAUUACUGGGCGUAAAGCGUGCGCAGGCGGUUGUGCAAGACAGAUGUGAAAUCCCCGGGCUCAACCUGGGAAUUGCAUUUGUGACUGUACGGCUAGAGUGUGUCA
rnacentral:rRNA from 1 species